rnacentral:rRNA from 1 species
AAUGACUCUCGACAACGGAUAUCUCGGCUCUCGCAUCGAUGAAGAACGUAGCGAAAUGCGAUACUUGGUGUGAAUUGCAGAAUCCCGUGAACCAUCGAGUCUUUGAACGCAAGUUGCGCCCGAAGCCACUAGGUUGAGGGCACGUCUGCCUGGGUGUCACGC